rnacentral:tRNA from 1 species
UGGUGUGCAGCUUAGUGGUACAGCAUUUGUCUAGCAUGUGAGAAGUCCUGAGUUCAAUUCUCAGCACACAAA